CGCUGGUGUGCUUGUGGUUCUCGGUGUCCAGGGCAGGGUGCUCUGAUGUGUGCUGGCUCACUCCAGGUGGCUGCUUGCCGGGGCAUGGACCUCUGUGCUCUGUCAUGCUUCUGCUUGGGGUUUGUUAAAGUUAGAGCACCCUAAUCAAUCCUCACUCACUCCACCUGUUGUCCUGGCUUUGUAUGCUGUGCACUGGCUGACAAACAGCACCAGAUUAUGGAAAGCCUUGUGUGAGUAAAUGUCCAGCGUACCUUCCCUGCCUGCCUGAUCUCGUUUCUGCCUCCUGGAUUUCCCUGUUCUGCCCUGCCCUUGUCGGAUAUCUCUCUGGCUUCUGAUCUCUGGACAUCAACCUUGUUUCUGCCUUCUGACUGACACCUCCUGCCUAACCCCUGGAUCUGUUUGCCUGUAUCUGCCUCUCCGUGUCUGACCCUGUUUUUGUGCUUCAUCUACCAAUUCAACCCAAGUCCCCUCAUCCUUUCGCCUGUUACCACUUCCCCGGCUUUGACCCUGUUUCUGUCCCCUGACCACUGGAUUCCACUAACCUACGGGGUUACUUUAAACCAAGGAGUCUCAUUCACAGUCUUAGAUCCUCUGUGACAUCAGCUCGCUGUCACCAGCCUAUAGCAAUGAGGAGCCGAAAAUCAGCACCCAUACUGUCUCAGGGAUUCUGAAAAGGUUAGUGGCUUUUUCUUUGACCUUCACCUUGCCCACAGUUCUCUGCUUAGCCACUGACCUGUCUGCCCUCAGAGGUUCCCGGUCUUGCCGUUGGUGGCUUCCUGCCAAGCUACAUCUAUAGAUCUCAAUAAACCUUUAAACUUCCAUCUGUUGUAUCCGGCUGAAAUUUCGGGUCCCCUUUUCAGUUCAACACACUCUGCCAUGCCCACCAUAUUGUUGCCUGCUGGUCUGCUUGCUAAACUUAUUGGAAUUUUUGUUUUGGGUCCACGAGUGAAAAUAUCACACUGCUUUGUAGUCAAAGACUUUGACCUCUUGCCCAAUGACCACUGAAGAUAGGCACCAACCCAGCAAGGAAAGGAUGGAUGGAUGCAUGGAUGGAUGGAGGGACGGACGGAUGGACGGAUGGCAGCACUUACCAUGAUUUUGACCUUAUAGGUUCCAAUGGAGCAGUCUGCAGGUUCCAAAAACUGUAGAGUACUUUUCAAAUGUUUAGGAUCAUCUGUCAAGCCUAAAUAGAUGUCGAAAAAUAAGGUUAAACUUGUAGUAGGUAAGAUGUGUUCACCAUCAUCUAUAGUGGGAAUGUACAUUAAGGUCCAUUUUAAUGUGAUCAAAACUUAAUGUUCACCUUCCUUUGUAAUGUUGUGAAUAUGUGUGAUGGAUUUUCUCUCCUUAAUUAAUAAGUUAUGUGUGUAAGAUUUACUCUGUACUUUCAGUCAGUGCAAACAUAUAUUGGGGGGCUUUUGAUUGAACGAGCAAGGUUUGUAUCAAAUCUGCUUGGUCAUAAAAAAAGAACCAUCAACACAAGAAGAAAUUGAAACUAAUAGACCCAUUACACUGUUGUGUAUCUGAUUUCCUGUAAAUCACACACUCUACAUGAACUUUCUAAGCAUAUGAUACAUGCACACACAAUUUAAUCUCCAGUUAAUCCAGGCUACACAGAUCUUUUUGGACAUGUAAAAAACAAAUUGUGCCAUGAGCUGAGCUAUAUUUACCGCACACAGGCCCCACUGCUAUAAAAUGUAUGAAAUUGCUAUUCUAAUGUUGCAGCAAUGAUUUAAUAACUAAAUCUCCUGCUGUGGUUUGCAGAUGCUCAGUCUGCACUGAUGAAAAUUCUCUCAACUCGGCAAUAGUUGAGGGAGUGACUAGCAUGACCCUGGUGGAGAUGACCCUGGUUUCAUAUUCAUUCACCUAAUAAUCAUUUGACCACUUUAGGACGAUUCAUAGACUGAUCAUUGAACUUUUAUUCUUAUAGUCAGGCAUUAGGUCAUAAAGCAAGGAUUUUAGUAAAUGUAAUAUAAUGUGUUUUAGUCACUUUUGCUUUUCCAUAUAUAUGUCAGGCCUUGCCUAUGUCUGUGUUUUGUUUUGCUUAGCUUCCUGGUCUGAUCAUUGUUUUUUCUUAUUUUCCCCACAGCCUAUCCCCACACCUGUACCUUGUUUCUUCUAAUUACCUGGUCCCUUUGUUUCCUUGCUUCAUCAUGUUUUUCUGUCGUAUUUAAAGUACUUUUUGGCCUCAGUUCGGGACUGGUUCAUUGUGUAUGUUUUAUAUGUUUUCGUUCUGGUCUGAUUCUGGUCCCCCCCCUGCCUGGUCUGGGAAUAAGAACAAUUAAAGGCUCUGCUCUGUCA